rnacentral:rRNA from 1 species
GACGAACGCUGGCGGCGUGCUUAACACAUGCAAGUCGAACGCUGAAGCUCAGCUUUUGUUGGGUGGAUGAGUGGCGAACGGGUGAGUAACACGUGAGUAACCUGCCCUCUUCUUUGGGAUAACGCCCGGAAACGGGUGCUAAUACUGGAUAUUCACUGAUCUUCGCAUGGGGGUUGGUGGAGAGGUUUGUUCUGGUGGGGGAUGGGCUCGCGGCCUAUCAGCUUGUUGGUGGGGUGAUGGCCUACCAAGGCUUUGACGGGUAGCCGGCCUGAGAGGGUGACCGGUCACAUUGGGACUGAGAUACGGCCCAGACUCCUACGGGAGGCAGCAGUGGGGAAUAUUGCACAAUGGGCGAAAGCAUGAUGCAGCGACGCCGCGUGAGGGAUGGAGGCCUUCGGGUUGUAAACCUCUUUCGCUAAUGGUCAAGCCGCGACGUGGGUUGUGGUGAGGGUAGUGGGUAAAGAAGCGCCGGCUAACUACGUG